UAAAAAAUGGGCAACAUUUUUAAAAGACAACACAGAGAGUCGAACCUGGGCGGAGCAGAGAGCAAGGCUUUCAGAACAGCCUUGACCGCUGAGAUAACUUGCUCACUUGUGUCAAGGGUGUUCAAAUUAUUUUAUAUCAUUGUAUAAUACUGAAUUUAACCUACACGCAUCGUGUAAUUUUCCGGCGAAGGGUGUUCACCUGAACACCCUUAGGUGGCUGUAGCUCCGCCCCUGAGUUAAGGGGAUGACCAUUCUCCAAAUUUAUUUUAAUGUACAAGUUGGUUAUGAAUAUCAUUUAUGAACAUUAUUAGUAUGGAAAUGUCGAGAAGAGACUAAGGGUAAAAAGAGAAAUUCACAAAAAGGGGCCAUGGAAAUAAUGUGGAAGGCUAGGGGCAAAAUGGUAAUAUUAAAGAAAGUCGAGGGGCGAAACGGGAAUUUUACACAAGGUUCAUGAAGGUUCCAAAAAGGGCAUAUUGGCCAUGUGAUGGAAAUAUAAGGGCCAAAGUGCACAUGGCAAGACUAGGAGUCAUCUUUUAUUUUUAAGGAAAUUUCAAGAAAAAGAAAGAAAGAUCUAGAGAAAAGAAGAAGGAAGGAGGGGCAUGUGCCCCUCACAUGCUUGUAGAGCUAUAUAUAUAUGUGGUCAUCUUUUAAUCAAAGAGAGUGGAAGAGAAAGAAAGAACAAGCAAAACAAAAAAAAAAAAAAAAAAAAAAAAAAAAAAAAAAAAAAAGGAGAAGAGAAGGGGGAGAAUUCGGCCAACUCCCCAAAAAUUUGGGUCCAUGGAAUUGGCCAAGAAAAAUUAUUUUCUUCCACUUUUCCUACCUAAUGGAAGGUCCUCUACAACAUGAAGUAAGUGUUGAAGCAAGAAGAACACUCCUUGGUGUCAUGUACCAACCCUAAACAAAGUGGGAAGUUGAAGGAAAAGAUUUUGGCGGAUUUGGAACGUGAAUUUGGAGUCGCAUAAGAAGUAGAAAAGGUACACCAGAUGAGCCACAGCUAUCAUAGAAGAUGUUCCAGCGGAGUUGGCAGGCUCCACUUGUUCUGGAGUGCUGCCGAGUCAGAGUAUCUGAGCUAUGAUGUUUGUUUGAUGUUAGAGACUUUGCAGACAGAGUCGUAUGUAUUGGGUUGUCAGUCUGUAAGCGGCUCCAGCAGCCGAUAUGUUAUUAUGCUCAUGUCACGAGUCUUAUAUGAUGUCAGAUUUUACUUAUGAAAAAAAAAAUAUGCGGGAGAGCUUACUAUGUAUUUCUCUCUUAAUUGAUUCAAGAGUUUCUAUAUGUAACAAGAGUCAGCGGGUUCGCUCGGCUCCAGAUAUGGGGUCGGGUGCCCAUCACACCCUAGUAAAGUCGGGGUGUGACAAAAUUCUGGUUAGAUUUAGGUCUUAACAUGAAUAAUAUUCUUAAUACUCCAACUCAUUGGUUACAAAAUCUUCAUGAGUUGCAAGCCCCGAUCUCUAUUGGUUACUUGACCUGGACAAAAUUUUAUCCUUUUGCGCUUUGGUAUAUUUGGCUUAAUCGAAACCAUAAUGCUUUUAACCAGGACUCUUCUCCUAGCAACACAAUUAUUGUUAUUAUGAGAGCCACUGAAUACAAGCAUCCCAUCAAAAAAGAGAUCCACAUCACUUGGCAUCCCCUUUCUACUGGCUAUACAAAACUUAACAUUGAUGAUGUUUUUUCAAAACAUACAAAUAAAGGAGGUAUUGGUGGAAUCUUGAGAGACUCGAAUGGCAAUUGGAUUCUGGGUUACUAUACACUUAUGCAUAGUCUUAACCCCAUUAUGGUUGAAUAACAAGCCCAGCUACAUGGCCUUCAACUAGCACUCGAUAAAAAUCUCUUUUCACUUGAAGUGGAGACUGACUCUGUCGAGGUAACGCAGUUCUUGGAAAAACCACAACCUAUUUAUCAUAUGCAGGUUGCUAUUGAGGAGAUUGGGGAGUCCAGUAGUACGACAUAAUUUCAGGCGAGGGAACAAGUUAGCAGACCUUUUGUCGAAGUUGGGCAGCAAGUUUGGAACACCUAAUCAACUACAACUUUUGUUCACACCUUCAUCAAGUGUCAAUGCCAUCCUGGUAGCGGAUAAAGCAGAAGUAGCCUCUACUAAAUUAGUAUCUUUAAAUGUGUGUAAUAGUUUAGCUAAAUUGGGAAACCAUAACACUCUAGCUAUUUGUGAUAGCAAUUAUGUACCUACUAUGUCUGCUGUAACUGUUUAGUAUUAAUAAA